AUGUGGUGUGUGGUUUAUGUGUGGUGUGUGUGCAGUGUGUGGAUGUUGCUCACGACAUUUAGAGAGGAGGUGACUUGCCAGACUCUUGGAAGUGUGGGGGAGGCUGCAAGCUCAGCAAUGGUUUCCUGGGACAGGGGAGGCAGCUGUGACUCUGAGAAGUGUCAUUUCUCCAGACCAGGGGACCCAGGUCCUUCCUCCUGCACCCGGUGGCCUGUGCAUCCCAGCGCAAGGCAUGUGCCAAGCAGACUGAGACCUAUCUGGGCAUUCUGCUGGGGAUGAGGCCCCCAGGACUGCAGAGAGCAGUGUGGAGUUUCUCAGCAUGCUGGAGACUGAAGGUCACAUCAGCUGCGUGGGAUGAUGACUCAACUUAGAUUCCAUUUGCUUUUGGAGAAAUGAUGAGAUCCAGGGACUGAACUCAGAACCUUGUGCUUGUGAGGCAGGGAAGAGUCAGAACUUGUAUGGUGCCAGACUCAGUGAAUGAGGUGGAUGAAGACACAACGAUACUUUUAUGAGCCGUCCUUCACCAGCCUGGAUGGUACCUGGCAGCAGCUUUCACAGGAUUUUUUUUUUUUUUUUUGGUACCAGGGAUCGAACUUGGGACCCUACACUUGCUAGGCAGGCGGCCUUUCACAGGAUUUUUAAUCACAACUUAUAAAGGCAUGAAAGAGGAGUUCCAGAACUGCUUCAGAAAGUGGCAGGAAAGAUGAGAUAAAAUGAAUUUAACAUAAGGGAGGGUAUUUUGAAGGGUAUAAAUGGUAAUAUGUUUUUUACUAUAAUCAUUUUUUAAAUUAAACAAUCACCAUUGAUCACGUCUUGUGUCAAGUUCCUAGUGGUGCUGAAGCUGCUGGUCUGGGGAACACACUUUGAGAUCAGUCUGGUGUGUUUCCAUGCAGGGUAUGACAGCUCUGCCAUGAAGAACACAUGCUCUCUCCAUACAUGAGCCUCCAGCCUCCUGGCAUCAAUGGUGGGUGGC